UACGGGGGGGGCAAGCGUUGUUCGGAAUUACUGGGCGUAAAGGGCUCGUAGGCGGCCAACUAAGUCAGACGUGAAAUCCCUCGGCUUAAUCGGGGAACUGCGUCUGAUACUGGAUGGCUUGAGUUUGGGAGAGGGAUGCGGAAUUCCAGGUGUAGCGGUGAAAUGCGUAGAUAUCUGGAGGAACACCGGUGGCGAAGGCGGCAUCCUGGACCAACACUGACGCUGAGUGAGCGAAAGCCAGGGGAGCAAACGGG
rnacentral:rRNA from 1 species